AAGCUGCGAUAAGUAAUGUGAAUUGCAGAACUCAGUGAAUCAUCGAGUCUUCGAACGCAUAUUGCGCCCCCUGGCACUCCGGGAGGCACGCCUGUCCGAGCGUCGUCAACCGUCCUCCUGACCCCCGCUUGCGGGUGGUCUAGACGUUGGGCCUUCCGUGCCCCCGUGUGGGCAGGCUCGAAACCCGACCAAGCGAUGUCCCCUGGGGCCCCGAGCGCAGCGGCUGUCCCAGCUCGAGUGGCCACCAGGGUCCGACCAGUCGGCGUACCACGUGGGGGCCUUCCUGGCCCUCGUCUUCACCGUUGACCUCGGAUCAGGCGGGGUUACCCGCUGAACUUAAGC
rnacentral:misc_RNA from 1 species